CUGUUACUCUGUUUAUAAUCAAAGUUCAUUAAAGAAUACUUCUGUUACUCUGUUUAUAAUCAUAGUUUAUGGAAGAAUACUUCUGAUACUCUGUUUAUAAUCAUAGGUUAUUUAAGAGUACAGCUGUUUCUCUGUAUAUAAUAAUAGUUUAUUAAAGAGUACUUCUGGUACUCUGUUUAUAAUCAUAGUUUAUUGAAGAGUACUUCUGUGCAUCUGUUCAUAAUCAAAAUUUAUUAAAGAAUACUUCUGUUACUCUGUUUAUAAUCAUAGUUUAUCGGAGAGUACCUCUAGUACUCUGUUAAUAAUAAUAGUUUAAUAAAGAGUACUUCUGGUACUCUGUUAAUGCUAUUAGUUUAUUAAAGAGUACCUUCAGUAUUCUGUUUAUAAUCAUAGUUUAUUAAAGAGUCCUUCUGUUACCCUGUAUAUAAUAACAGUUUAUUGGAGAGUACUUCUGGUACUGUGUUUGUAAUCAUAGUUUAUUUAAGAUUACUUCUGUGCGUCUGUUUAUAAUCAUAGUUUAAUAAAGAGUACAGCUGGUACUCUGUUUAUAAUGAUAGUUUAUUAAAGAGUACUUCUGUUACUAUGUUUGAAAUCACAGUUUAUUAAAGAGUACUUCUGUUACUCUGUUUAUAAUAAUAGUUAAUUAGAGAGUACUUCUGUUACUCUGUUUAUAAUAAAAGUUUAUUAGAGUACAGCUGUUACUCUGUUAAUAAUAAUAGUUUAUUUAAGAGUAUUUCUGUAACUCUGUUUAUAAUAAUAGUUUAUUGAAGAGUACUUCUAAGACUGUUUAUAAUAACAGUUUAUUAAAGAGUACUUCUGUUACUCUGUUUUUAAUCAUAGUUUAUUAAAGAGUACUUCUGUUUCUAUGUUUAAAAUCAUAGCUUAUUUAAGAGUACUUCUUAGACUCAGUUUAUAAUAGUUUAUUGGAGAGCACUUCUGUUACUCUGUUUAUAAUCAUAGUUUACUAAAGAGCACUUCUGUUACUCUGUUCAUAAUCAUAGUUUAUGAAAGAACUUCUAAGACUGUUUAUAAUAAUAGUUUAUUGGAGAGUACUUCUGGUACUCUGUUUAUAAUAAUAGUUUAUUAAAGAGUACUUCUGUUACUCUGUUUAUAAUAGUUUAUUAAAGAGUACAGCUGUUACUCUGUUAAUUAAAAUAGUUCAUUUAAGAGUAUUUCUGUAACUCUGUUUAUAAUCAUAGGUUAUUUAAGGGUACAGCUGUUUCUCUGUAUAUAAUAAUAGUUUAUUAAGGAGUACUUCUGGUACUGUGUUUAUAAUCAUAGUUUAUUAAAGAGUACUUCUGUGCAUCUGUUCAUAAUCAAAAUUUAUUAAAGAAUACUUCUUUUACUCUGUUUAUAAUCAUAGUUUAUUAGAAAGUACUUCUGUACUCUGUUUGUAAUCAUAGUUGAUUAAAGAGUACUUCUUUUACUCUGUUUAUAAUAAUAGUUUAUAAAAGAGUACCUUCAGUAUUCUGUUUAUAAUCAUAGUUUAUUAAAGAGUACUUCUGUUACCCUGUAUAUAAUAAAAGUUUAUUGGAGAGUACUUCUGGUACUGUGUUUAUAAUCAUAGUUUAAUAAAGAGUACAGCUGGUACUCUGUUUAUAAUGAUAGUUUAUUAAAGAGUACUUCUGUUACUAUGUUUGAAAUCACAGUUUAUUAAAGAGUACUUCUGUUACUCUGUUUAUAAUAAUAGUUAAUUAAAGAGUACUUCUGUUACUCUGUUUAUAAUAAAAGUUUAGUAAAGAGUACAGCUGUUACUCUGUUGAUAAUAAUAGUUUAUUUAAGAGUAUUUCUGUAACUCUGUUUAUAAUGAUAGUUUAUUGAAGAGUACUUCUAAGACUCUGUUUAUAUUAACAGUUUAUUAAAGAGUUCUUCUGUUACUCUGUUUUUAAUCAUAGUUUAUUAAAGAGUACUUCUGUUUCUAUGUUUAAAAUCAUAGUUUAUUUAAGAGUACUUCUUAGACUCAGUUUAUGAUAGUGUAUUGGAGAGCACUUCUGUUACUCUGUUUAUAAUCAUAGUUUACUAAAGAGCACUUCUGUUACUCUGUUCAUAAUCAUAGUUUAUUAAAGAGCACUUCUGUUACUCUGUUUAAAAUCAUAGUUUAUAAAAGAGUAUUUAGUUUAAGACUCUGUUUAUAAUAAUAGUUUAUUAAAGAGUACUUCUGGUUACUCUGUUUAUAAUAAUAGUUUAUUAAAGAGUACAGCUGUUACUCUGUUACUUAUAAUAGUUUAUUUAAGAGUAUUUCUGUAACUCAUAGUUUAUAAUAAAAGUUUAUUGAAGAGUACUUCUAGUACUCUGUUUAUAAUAAUAGUUUUAUAAAAGUACUUCUGUUACUCUGUUUAUAAUCAUAGUUUAUGGAAGAAUACUUCUGAUACUCUGUUUAUAAUCAUAGUUUAUUAAAGAGUACAGCUUUUCUCUGUAUAUAAUAAUAGAUUAUUUAAGAGUACUUCUGGUACUCUGUUUAUAACCAUAGUUUAUUUGAGAGUACUUCUGUGAGUCCGUUCAUAAUCAAAGUUUAUUAAAGAAUACUUCUGUUACUCUGUUUAUAAUCAUAGUUUAUGGAAGAAUACUUCUGAUACUCUGUUUAUAAUCAUAGUUUAUUAAAGAGUACAGCUGUUUCUCUGUAUAUAAUAAUAGAUUAUUUAAGAGUACUUCUGGUACUCUGUUUAUAACCAUAGUUUAUUUGAGAGUACUUCUGUGAGUCCGUUCAUAAUCAAAGUUUAUUAAAGAAUACUUCUGUUACUCUGUUUAUAAUCAUAGUUUAUUAAAGAGUACUUCUGUACUCUGUUUGUGAUCAUAGUUGAUUAAAGAGUACUUCUUUUACUCUGUUUAUAAUAAUAGUAUAUUAAAGAGUACCUUCAGUAUUCUGUUUAUUAUCGUAGUUUAUUAAAGAAUACUUCUGUAACUCUGUUUAUAAUCAUAGUUUAUGGAAGAAUACUUCUGAUACUCUGUUUUGAAUCAUAGUUUAAAAAAGAGUUGAGCUGUUUCUCUGUAAAUAAUAAUAGUUUAUUAAAGAGUACUUCUGGUACUCUGUUUAUAAUCAUAGUUUUUUAAAGAGUACUUCUAAGAUUCUGUUUAUAAUAGUUUAUUGGAGAGUACUUCUGGUACUUUGUUUAUAAUGUUGGUUUAUUAAAGAGUACUUCUGUUACUCUGUUUAUAAUAGUAGUUAAUUAUAGAGUACCUCUAAGACUGUUUAUGAUCAUAGUUUACUAAAGAGUUCUUCUGUUACUCUGUUCAUAAUCAUCAUUUAUUAAAGUGUACUUCUGUUACUACGUUUAAAAUCAUAGUUUAUAAAAGAGUACUUCUAAGACUCUGUUUAUAAUCA